GAUGAACGCUAGCGAUAGGCCUAACACAUGCAAGUCGAGGGGCAUCACAUGAAGUAGCAAUACGGAUGGUGGCGACCGGCGCACGGGUGAGUAACACGUAUGCAACCUGCCUUCAACAAGGGGAUAACCCGUUGAAAGACGGACUAAUACCCUAUAACACAGGGGUCCCGCAUGGGAAUAUUUGUUAAAGGACAACCGGUUGAAGAUGGGCAUGCGUUCCAUUAGCUAGUUGGCGGGGUAAGGGCCCACCAAGGCAACGAUGGAUAGGGGAACUGAGAGGUUUAUCCCCCACACUGGUACUGAGACACGGACCAGACUCCUACGGGAGGCAGCAGUGAGGAAUAUUGGUCAAUGGACGCAAGUCUGAACCAGCCACGUCGCGUGAAGGAAGACGGCCCUACGGGUUGUAAACUUCUUUUGCAAGGGAAUAAAGUGGGCCACGUGUGGCCUUUUGCAAGUACCUUGCGAAUAAGGAUCGGCUAACUCCGUGCCAGCAGCCGCGGUAAUACGGAGGAUCCGAGCGUUAUCCGGAUUUAUUGGGUUUAAAGGGUGCUCAGGCGGGACAUUAAGUCGGCGGUGAAAUUUUGCGGCUCAACCGUAAAAGUGCCUUCGAAACUGGUAUCCUUGAGUGUGGAUGAGGUAGGCGGAAUUUGUGGUGUAGCGGUGAAAUGCAUAGGUAUCACGAGGAACUCCGAUUGCGCAGGCAGCUUACUAAGCCAUAACUGACGCUCAAGCACGAAGGCGUGGGGAUCAAACAGGAUUAGAUACCCUGGUAGUCCACGCAGUAAACGAUGAUUACUGGCUGUUUGCGAUAUAAUGUAAGCGGCUGAGCGAAAGCGUUAAGUAAUCCACCUGGGGAGUACGUUCGCAAGAAUGAAACUCAAAGGAAUUGACGGGGGCCCGCACAAGCGGAGGACCAUGUGGUUUAAUUCGAUGAUACGCGAGGAACCUUACCCGGGCUUGAAAUGCCUCUGACAGUCGA
rnacentral:rRNA from 1 species